GAUGAAGAACGCAGCGAAAUGCGAUAAGUAGUGUGAAUUGCAGAAUUCCGUGAAUCAUCGAAUCUUUGAACGCACAUUGCGCCUUCUGGUAUUCCGGAAGGCAUGCCUGUUCGAGAGUCAUUAACAACCGUUUCGAUCCCUUUCUUUCAGAAAUUACAAAGAGGAAAAGGGUUUGGUUAUGGUGGAGGAGGGAAAGGGAGCGUUUAGCCUGUAAAAAAAGAGGCUGUGUUCCGCCUCCCCCCCAAAAUUGUACAGGCGGUCGUGUGCGCCCACGCAUCGAGGUGUUGUAAAAGCUGCCACGUCACUUUUCACCUGUGCAGUGCGAGAUUGGCCAGCCGGUUUAAAAACCCCUCCAAACAAUCAAAGGUUGACCUCGGAUCAGGUAGGGAUACCCGCUGAACUUAAGCAUAUCAAUAAGCGGAGGA
rnacentral:misc_RNA from 1 species